CACACGCUCCUUAGAUCCACCUCUGGGGAGUCUUAAAGCUCGGAGUGUCACAGCUCCAGGGUUGGGGCUCCCAGCAGCUUUUCUGGCUGGACAGUUGGAGGUGCUUGAGUCAUUGGCGUGUGAGAGCAAUCUACCUGCUCCUUCAGCCUAGCCUCUGCCUUGGCUCCCAUAGUGGACAUCACCAGGGUAGACAAGCUGGAGGGCGGACAAG
ensembl:snoRNA Small nucleolar RNA SNORA53